rnacentral:tRNA from 2 species
GCGAAAUUGGUGAAGUGGUUAACACACCAGAUUGUGGCUCUGGCACGCGUGGGUUCGAUUCCCACAUUUCGCCCCA